rnacentral:rRNA from 1 species
CCCGGUACCUCAGUUCAGAUUGCAGGCUGCAACUCGCCUGCAUGAAGUUGGAAUUGCUAGUAAUCGCGAAUCAGAAUGUCGCGGUGAAUACGUUCCCGGGCCCUUGUACACACCGCCCGUCACACCAUGGAGUUGGAAGCACCCGAAGUCGGUGACCUGACCGAAAGGGAGGAGCCGCCGAAGGUGAAGCCAGCGACUGGGGUGAAGUCGUAACAAGGUAUC